rnacentral:sRNA from 1 species
UAAAUAUCUGAAAGCAAAAAAAAGAAAAGGCUUGAACGAGCUUAGUUUCUCCAGGAUGUAGUCUGAAAAUUUUGCAAUGCCUGUCAAGUGAACCCCAUGUUUGGUAAUUUAAUCUCUGGGAUUAUGUCAUGACUCUGGUACUUUGUUGGUUGGUCUGGAGAGUAAGAUGAGAUGUAGGGCUACGUGAACAACCGUAUGCUUGGCAUGAAUGAAUUGAUAUUCCUGGUUACCUUGGUUUCCCUUUUCUGCUCUUAUCCCUCUUGAUUUCUCAUGCAGUAAACUUGUUUUGUUUGUCUCAUUUGAUUUGAAACGAAACAU